rfam:Xenopus laevis strain J chromosome 6S, whole genome shotgun sequence.
GUUCUGCAGUCUGACAGUGUCCCGGGUUGUGAGUACUCGGGUCGGACAGGCGGCAGAGAGAAUAUUCACUAGAGGGAGCCGAGACUCAGCUGCCCGAGUGCUGGGAGUUGUGCGCUAUGUCCCUCUUACACUCACUUCUGUUGCCUCACAGAUAAUAACCCUCCCCAUGUUAUUGUCCAAUCAGCAACAGGCAGAGCAACGGAGCAGUGUGAUAUUAUUUACUGGAUAAAGACUCCUGGUAAACACUGAGACUGCCACACGC